rnacentral:rRNA from 1 species
GAUGAACGCUGGCGGCGUGCCUAAUACAUGCAAGUCGAGCGAACGGACGAGAAGCUUGCUUCUCUGAUGUUAGCGGCGGACGGGUGAGUAACACGUGGAUAACCUACCUAUAAGACUGGGAUAACUUCGGGAAACCGGAGCUAAUACCGGAUGAUAUUUUGAACCGCAUGGUUCAAAAGUGAAAGACGGUCUUGCGGUCACUUAUAGAUGGAUCCGCGCUGCAUUAGCUAGUUGGUAAGGUAACGGCUUACCAAGGCAACGAUGCAUAGCCGACCUGAGAGGGUGAUCGGCCACACUGGAACUGAGACACGGUCCAGACUCCUACGGGAGGCAGCAGUAGGGAAUCUUCCGCAAUGGGCGAAAGCCUGACGGAGCAACGCCGCGUGAGUGAUGAAGGUCUUCGGAUCGUAAAACUCUGUUAUUAGGGAAGAACGUAUGUGUAAGUAACUGUGCACAUCUUGACGGUACCUAAUCAGAAAGCCACGGCUAACUACGUG